GGUAACAGAUGUUUUCAAGAUUCUGAUUGUCCACAAAAUAUGUGCUCUCCUCCUUUUAAACCGGGGUGUUUUUAUGGGUGGUGUGUACCAGAGUUAAUCUUAGAAUGAUGCUAUAGAUUCUAGAUGUUUUCUCUUUGGGUCCCCGAUGUAUCUUUUAUAUCCCAAAUAUUCCAAUUUUGCCCUUGAUAAAAUCUUCGGUUCGCAGAAACCGAAGUUUUUUCUAGUUCAAAUUCAGGAAAAUUUUGGUUAACAGAAACUGUAUUUUUUUUUUCAAGGCAAAGAAAAUUCGAUUCGUAGAAACCGAAAUUUUUAUUGAAGGACAAAAAAGUAAAAUCCAGAUGAUGAAAAAGAACCAUGAAGGCCUAAAGAGAAAACAUCUAGAUUCUAUAUAUGAGUGCCAAAAUCAAGAGAGUUGUACACAACAGGCUUGUAGAAUUGCUAAAAAAAAAAAGGCUUGUAGAAUACUUCUAUGAGUUAUCAUUUAGUUAUUACGUCACUCAUUUAACACUUGUAUGACUCUAUGAACUAAGCUUAGUGUGUGUUUGGUUUCACGUUUGGAAGUCUAGACGCGCGUUUGAUUUGCCUCCACCAUGAAAAGUGAAAAAAAAAUUAUAUUUGGCUUUGUCAUUCAGAAUCAAUUCAAGGGAUCCAAAAU
rnacentral:lncRNA from 1 species